UACGUAGGGGGCGAGCGUUGUCCGGAGUUACUGGGCGUAAAGGGCAUGCAGGCGGUCGGACGCGUUUCGGGUGACAGCGGGUGGCUUAACUACCCGAGUGGUCGAAAGACGGUUUGACUUGAGGACGCGAGAGGGACACGGAAUUCCGGGUGGAGUGGUGAAAUGCGUAGAGAUCCGGAGGAACACCGAAGGCGAAGGCAGUGUCCUGGCACGUAACUGACGCUGAGGUGCGAAAGCCAGGGGAGCGAACGGG
rnacentral:rRNA from 1 species